rnacentral:rRNA from 1 species
GACGAACGCUGGCGGCGUGCUUAACACAUGCAAGUCGAACGAGAAAGCACCUUCGGGUGUGAGUACAGUGGCGAACGGGUGAGUAACACGUGGGCAACCUGCCCCGGAGACUGGGAUAACGUCCCGAAAGGGACGCUAAUACCGGAUGACGCGCGAUCUGCCAAGUAGGUCGCGCCAAAUGGUAGCUUCGGCUUCUGCUCUGGGAUGGGCCCGCGCCGGAUUAGCUUGUUGGUGGGGUAAUGGCUCACCAAGGCGACGAUCCGUAGCUGGUCUGAGAGGACGAUCAGCCACACUGGGACUGAGACACGGCCCAGACUCCUACGGGAGGCAGCAGUAGGGAAUAUUGGACAAUGGGGGCAACCCUGAUCCAGCAAUGCCGCGUGAGUGAUGAAGGCCUUAGGGUUGUAAAGCUCUGUCCUUGGGGAAGAAGGCGAAAGCUUGACGGUACCCAAGAAGAAAGCCCCGGCAAACUACGUGCCAGCAGCCGCGGUAAACUACUCGUA